GGGGAAUAUUGCACAAUGGGCGCAAGCCUGAUGCAGCGACGCCGCGUGAGCGAAGAAGGUUUUCGGAUCGUAAAGCUCUGUCCUCUGGGAAGAAAAAAUGACGGUAUCCGGAGAAGAAGCCCCGGCUAACUUCGUGCCAGCAGCCGCGGUAAUACGAAGGGGGCUAGCGUUGUUCGGAAUUACUGGGCGUAAAGCGCACGUAGGCGGAUAUUUAAGUCAGGGGUGAAAUCCCAGAGCUCAACUCUGGAACUGCCUUUGAUACUGGGUAUCUUGAGUAUGGAAGAGGUAAGUGGAAUUCCGAGUGUAGAGGUGAAAUUCGUAGAUAUUCGGAGGAACACCAGUGGCGAAGGCGGCUUACUGGUCCAUUACUGACGCUGAGGUGCGAAAGCGUGGGGAGCAAACA
rnacentral:rRNA from 1 species